rnacentral:misc_RNA from 1 species
CCUACAUGUAUAUAUUUAGUCAGUGUCCCCAAUACAAAUGCAAUGUGCUAUUUUCUUUACUUUUAUUCAGUUGUUGGGCAGCUACAGUGCUUGUAGUGGUGCAGUGCUGUACUAAUUUAGUUAACCACUGAAAAUACAUUGACAAGGAAUCAAUAUUUCUGUGCUUGAUCUGGGGUAUUCGGUGAACCGCUUUGAUCAAAAUGAAUGAGAAGUCGUCUGAUUUGGAAAAACGCAGAGCAAGGCUAAGGCGAUGGGGAACCGCAUCAUGUCCCAGUGUAGUGAAGGCGCCGACAGUGAUUGCCAUGGUGGGUCUGCCAGCUCGUGGCAAGACAUACAUAUCGAAGAAACUCACACGGUAUCUCAACUGGAUAGGAAUUCGCACAAAAGUUUUCAAUGUGGGUGAUUAUCGACGGGCUGCUACAGACAGAUACAAAACUCAUGAUUUCUUUCGACCAGAUAACAAAGAAGCUCAAGAAAUCCGCCAUAAAUGUGCAUCAAUGGCUGUCGAUGAUGCCAGCAAGUUUCUUCUGAAUGGAGGGGAAGUGGCAGUUGUAGAUGCGACAAACACAACUCGUGAGAGACGGAAACUGUUAGUGACUGUAUUCACAGAGCAGCACAGUUUUAAACUGUUCUUCAUAGAAUCUAUAUGUGAUGAUCCAUCCAUCAUUGAAGCUAACAUUUUAGAAGUGAAAGUGUGUAGUCCUGACUAUAUGGGUGUGGAUAAAAAUGAAGCAAUGCAUGACUUUCUACAAAGAAUAGAACAUUACCGACGAGCAUACGAAUCUCUGGACAUUGUCAACGAAAAGGACAUGUCUUUUAUACAGAUCUUCAACCAAGGCGAGAGAUACCUCGUCAACAAACUUGCAGGCCAUUUACAGAGCAGAGUUGUCUACUAUCUGAUGAAUAUACAUGUGUUACCAAGAACUAUCUACUUAACAAGGCAUGGUGAAAGUACGAUGAAUCUUGAAGGAAGGAUUGGAGGUGACAGCAAACUUUCAGCAAGAGGCGAUCAAUAUGCAAAAGAAUUGGCAAAGUUUGUGGAAGAUGAACAUAUUGAGAAUUUGAAAGUUUGGACAUCAGAAAUGAAUCGUACUAUAGAAACGGCUAAAUAUAUUGAUGCUCCAAAAGAGUUCUGGAAGGCUUUGAACGAGAUUGAUGCCGGUAUCUGUGAAGGUAUGACGUAUGAAGCAAUUCAAGAAAAAUAUCCUGAAGAAUUUGCCCGACGUGAUCAAGACAAAUUCCACUACAGAUAUCCCAGUGGAGAGUCAUAUCAAGAUCUUGUAGCAAGACUGGAACCAGUUAUACUGGAACUGGAACGACAAGAAAAUGUGAUGGUCAUCUGCCACCAGGCUGUUGCAAGAUGUCUGCUGGCGUAUUUUCAGGAUAAAACGUCCGAGGAAAUUCCACAUGUGCCUGUUCCAUUCGAGAAGGUUGUAAGAAUGCAUAUGACAGGCCGAGGUUGCGACUGUGAAUUCAUUCCAUUGAUGAGUGUAGCAGAAGAGAGAAAAGAGAAAAGUAGAUCUCCCAUAUCUGAAGGUGCCUCUGCACACAGUGAUAAAACUGACUCCGGUUGCCUAUGGUUGUAGAGUUGAGUUCUUCCAUCUCAAAGCAGAGGCUGUCAACACUCAUCGAGAAAAACCAAAGAAUGUUGAUAGGAUGCGGUCCAUGGACGAAGCUUUGGAAACAGUUCCCAAUCAUGAGUAACAGUGCCAUGAUGAUAAACACUGGAAACAGUUUUCAAACAUCAGUAACAGUGUCAUGAUGAUAAACACUGGAAACAGUUCCCAAACAUCAGUAAUAGUGCCAUUAUAAUGAUAAACAUUGGCAAUGGUUUCAAAUGAUCAGUAACAGUGCUAUGACAAUAAACAUUGGAAACAGUUCCCAAUACACCAGUAAUAAUGUCUUGAGGACAGUAAACAUUGGAAACAGUUCCCAAUCAUCACUAACAGUGUUUUGAUGACAAGCAACAUUGGAAACAGUUCCCAGUCAUCAGUAGCAGUGUUUUGAUAACAAGCAAUGAUGGAAACAGUUCCCAAUCAUCAGUAGCAGUGUUUUGAUGACAAGCAACAUUGGAAACAGUUCCCAGUCAUCAGUAACAGUGUUUUGAUGACAAGCAACAUUGGAAACGGUUCCCAGUCAUCAGUAACAGUGUUUUGAUGACAAGCAACAUUGGAAACAGUUCCCUGUCAUCAGUAACAGUGUUUUGAUGACAAGCAACAUUGGAAACGGUUCCCAAUCACCAGUAACAAUGUUUUGAUAACAAGCAACAUUGGAAGCCAUCCUCAAUCAUCAGUAACAGUGUUUUGAUGACAAGCAACAUUGGAAACAGUUCCCAAUCAUCAGUAACAGUGUCAAAGUGAAUAUAAAGAAAGCUUUUUCAAUACAACCAACCUUCUUCCAGGUCUUUUGCAGCUAUUUAAGUCCAAGAAUCAGGGCUGGUAUGAAUGCAAUAUUCAGAUAUACACGUAUAUUUUAAAUUUUAUUUUCAUCACAUGAUUUCAUUACAAAGUUUACUUUUGUGUGACCAAUUAUCGUCAUCCUUGAUAAUGUAUCUGAUGUCUGAAACCUACACAGAUAACCUGUGUUAAAUAGGAGUUGUUGUUUAGACAAAAAGUUAACCAGGGUCGAGUUCAGUCAGAUAUAGCAGAAAAAUGUCCGCUAGACUGAUUUAUGCACUUCACAGUAAACUAAAUGGCCACAUCGGGAACCAGUCAAGUAGUUAGCAAACGUUAGCGAAACAUUUACUGGCUAAACUUGGGGCAGUAUCCAGGGAUGAAAAAAAGUAUAUGUGUUUGUGAAAUUGCAGAUUUUAGUUUUAUCAUAAGCAAUCUGUUUCUGAUCUUUUUCUUUGAUGAAAAGCGCACAAUAACCUCCUGCCUUUCAAGACCAUACAAAUGUUUCUGAUUUUGUGUGUGUGUUUGUACAAUUUACUUUUUGUAUCUUAUAAAUAUUUUUAAAACUUUAUAUGGGUUGAGUGCCGGCUCAUCCUUUGCUGUGUAAAGGCACCGACAAAAUGACGUCUGCUAAAUGUUUUUAUGUUACACAUAAAGCUUGAGCAGAACUUAGUCACUGUGUCAUGCACUGAUAGAUAGACAUUUAAUUUAAUCUUAGGAUUAAAAGAAAGCAGGGUAUUUUAACUCAGGAUACAAUUCUGUACCUAUUAGAUGGUAUUGCCAUGGAGACGAGAUUUAACCAGGAUUAAAAUAGUGUGGGUUAUUUUCACCCUGGAUAAAAUGCUGCAGCUACAGCCACUGUAAUUAUGGGGCAUUUGUAUGAUAUGCAGUCGUAAUGUAAUUUAUCAUGUUACUGUGAUUCAUAGAGGUAUUUGUACAUGUAUUGUUUAGUGUUUUUACAUCUUUAAAAUACUAGGGCCUCCAUUGUUGAUAAUGUAUCUAUGCUGUUGUUGUGGUAAAUAAAUUGUGUUAUUUUAUUAUCAAUUUAAAAUUUUAAGGCCUAAAAAUUAUUCUGUCUUUGCUUUAACAAAAAAAGUAGUUUUUUUUGCAAUGUCAGAUUCAAACAUGAUCACAUUGGUCCAUUUGUGAACAAUGAUUGAACUGAAAUAUGGCCACUGUCAUAGUGGAAAUAUAGUACAAUGUAUAUUUUGUUCAGUUUAUUAUUAUUAUUUGGGUUGUAUUAAGGUAUGGCAUUGUCCAUCUGUUUUCGGAGCAUAUCUUUCUUAUCAAUUUGUAUAGGAUCAUUAAAUCUUGCAUGCAAGUACAGUGUGAAAUUUUGGUGUGUUGCAUACCAUAACUAGGUCACUGUGACCUACUUUUCAUGUAUUACAGCACAUUAAAUGAAAUCCUUGUCCAGAGCAUAUCUUUCUUAUCAAUCAAUUCUUAUAAGAUCAUCAAAUUAUGCAUGCAAGUGCAACUUAGGAUGGUGGUGUGUUGCAUACCAUAACUAGGUCACCCCGGCCUACUGUUCACACAUUUCUGCACAUUAUCUUCCUUAUCAAUUCAUAUAGGAUCAUUAAACCUUGCAUGCAAUUACAACUUGGGAUUGCGGUGUGUCGCAUACCAUAACUAGGUCACUGUGACCUACUUUUCAUGCAUUAUAGCACAUUAAAGGAAAUCCUUGUUCAGGCCAUAUCUCUUAUCAAGGUCAUUGUGACCUGCUUUUCACACAAUAAUGCACAUUAAAAGAAAUCCUUGACUGGGUCAUAUUUUGCUUAUCAGUUCAUAUAAGGAUCAUAAAACUGUACAUGCAAAUACUACUUGGGAUGAUCGUGUGUUGCAUACCAUAACUAUGUCACAGCGACCUACUUUUCACACAUUACUGCACAUUAAAGGUAAUCCUUGUCCGAGCCAUAUCUUCCUUAUUAAUUCAUAUCGGAUUACCUACUUAUGACAGGUAUAUCAUGGAUCUCACCAGACCUCCUUGUUUUUUUAAGUCUUCCAUCACCCCUACUCCAACAAUUUGAUUAAGUUUGGAAUUGGCCCUAAAUUUGAACAACUUAAAAUUUAAACCUAUCAGUAUAAAAUUAUUGCUUAUCAUAAUAUCUAAAGAGAUUUCAGAUAAAAAAAGAUGUUUACAAUCAUGGUCUUGAAAUUAUGAAUCGGCUCAAACAUGUUUUAAAUGGUCAAAAGUGUCCACUUACAACAGGUGGAUGCUAAUUACAGGUUUUCAUUUGUACAAUAUAGUGAACUGUGUUUUAUUUGUUCCUGUCUGUACUGGUAAUUUAUAGAUGUAAACUUUACAGCAUACUUUAAAUGAACUUCUCGCAUAAAAUAAAACUAGACAUGUUUCAGUUUCACCAUUUCAAAUUUCAUCUUCGGGUUUGUUUACAGUAAUUAUGUUGAUCUCUUUCUCAAUAGCUACUAAAUGAGAUGCAUUGUCACACUUAAUGAGCUAUAAAUGCCAAGCUUGGUUUACCCAGACUAAUAAGUUUAUGAACUCUUAACAGAAUACAAAACCAUGCAUUUGACACACUAUGUCACUCAAUAUUUAAUUACUGUAAAUUAUACAAUCAUGUUACUUUUAAGUCCUGAUGUUAAUGUGUAUAGGCAUUCAUAAAACAUGUGGUAUUAAAGCAUUUUUCGUAGGUUUAUAUAGACAAGUAUUGACAUAAUAUAAAACUAAAAUAUUGAAACCAUUAUUUUAUUUAAAAAUUGUUUUUUAUAUACCAAGAUGUAUGUAUAUGUAUUGCAUGAAUUUUGCAGAUGUAUUUUAAUUCUUAAAUAUACCAGAUUUAUAAUGUGCUGUAUAAUUCAGUGUUCUCGGUGCUCCAUUUAAUUUUGAUGCCCUCCUUUCAUGUUCUGCCGCUCUUGUUUACUUUUUUGGCCCCUCUUUAAUUUUCCCGCACCCUACUAUAUUUUACAGCACCCAUCUCCGCUAUUUCCAAAUGCAGACAUUUUUUCACAUCCCCCCCUCCCACAAAUAAUUUAUCAGUCUACACACUGAACAUCAAAGGAAACAGAGCCGCGGUGUGUACGAAAAGGCAACUUGUCGAAAAACUUCAGUAGCUUACGACAGUUACCAUAAUAACGUAAUUUAACAAUAUUUUUAACAGCCUCUAUUUUGUCCCAUACCUGUAUCCAUUUGUAUGUUUGAUACCCACAAUAAAAGCUAUAUUUUAUUUGAGUAAUGAAAACAUUUUUUUUUCUUUUCUAUUUGUUAAUCUCCGACUGAAAAACUACUUAUUUGGCGCUACAGUUGUCCCGUGAUCAGAAUGGUCAUUCUGUCUUUUUGUGUCCACUCACGAUUGUCUGAUAUUUUGUCCUCAUUUGCAGAUUUAAUUGAUUGUAACUGAUGAUUUUUACUUUCUAUCAUUUGUUCAGCAAUUCUGUAUAAAAUAUUGUAUUAUAAAAUAGUUUGAUAUUUGGGGGAAUCACCGCUUAUAGACCAAAUAACUUCGGCUGGGUCAAAGUCCGAGGUGCACCCAACUUUUGAUAGAAAUAUGAACGCCACAAGUCAUGUGAUUGGUGAUAAAUGUGAGUGUGUUGGUUGUAAAAAAACAAAAAAUUUCAUCUGUGCAAAAAAUGUCUGCAAUUUUAUUUCAUCUAGUACCACUGUGUCAAGUAGCCGUGUGCUUGAAACAUG